rnacentral:rRNA from 1 species
UAUCAGUCAUGCAUAGCAUAUCAAUAAGCGGAGGAAAAGAAACUAACAAGGAUUCCCUUAGUAACGGCGAGUGAAGCGGGAAGAGCUCAAAUUUGAAAUCUUCAAGGUUUUACCUUGACGAAUUGUAGUUUAAAGAAGUGUUUUCUGUUGAAGUUUUGGUAAAAGUUCUUUGGAAUAGGACAUCAUAGAGGGUGAGAAUCCCGUAGUUUGACCAUUACUUUCAGCUUUGUGAUACACUUUCAAAGAGUCGGAUUGUUUGGGAAUGCAGUCCAAAAUGGGUGGUAAAUUUCAUCUAAAGCUAAAUAUUGGCGAGAGACCGAUAGCGAACAAGUACCGUGAGGGAAAGAUGAAAAGAACUUUGAAAAGAGAGUUAAACAGUACGUGAAAUUGUCAAAGGGAAGCGUUUGACACCAGUGUUGUUUUCUCGAAAAUCAAUUAAAAAGAGUUGGAUUUUGUGUUGUAUUGACUUUAUCAGGCUUUCCUUCACUCUUUUCCAGCUUUUUUUAAUGCACUUUUCGUUUAACAAGUCAACAUCAGUUUCUCUUGUUGUAAAAAGGUCAUUGGAAGGUGGCUUUCUCUUCGGAGAAAGUGUUUAUAGCCUUUGACUCAUGCAAUCGGAGAGACUGAGGUCUGCAGCGUAGAUCCUUCGGGGUUAGAUACAUUUGUGCUAAGUUAUAGCUUUUCAUAGACAACUUGUUGACUAUGUUUAGUCUUGUAGCUUACUCGCUUAUGCUAUUUUACCUACGCUUAGGAUGUUGAACUCUAUCACACACAG